CGUGAGUGAUGAAGGCCUUCGGGUCGUAAAGCUCUGUCAAGUGGGAAGAACCUGCAGUAUGCUAAUAUCAUAUUGCACUGACGGUACCACUGAAGGAAGCACCGGCUAACUCCGUGCCAGCAGCCGCGGUAAUACGGGGGGUGCAAGCGUUAUUCGGAAUCAUUGGGCGUAAAGAGCACGUAGGCGGCUUGGUAAGUCAGAUGUGAAAGCCCGGGGCUUAACCCCGGAAGUGCAUUUGAUACUGCCAAGCUUGAGUAUGGGAGAGGGAAGUGGAAUUCCUGGUGUAGAGGUGAAAUUCGUAGAUAUCAGGAGGAACACCGGUGGCGAAGGCGACUUCCUGGACCAAUACUGACGCUGAGGUGCGAAGGCGUGGGUAGCAAACAGGAUUAGAUACCCUGGUAGUCCACGCAGUAAACGUUGUUCACUAGGUGUAGCGGGUAUUGACCCCUGCUGUGCCGCAGUUAACGCAUUAA
rnacentral:rRNA from 1 species